AAACGACGGGGAAGCUUGCUUCCCCGGGCGUCGACCGGCGCACGGGUGAGUAACGCGUAUCCAACCUGCCUCUGACUGAGGGAUAACCCGUCGAAAGUCGGCCUAAUACCUCAUGGCAUCGUCUGCGGGCAUCCAACGACGAUUAAAGAUUUCAUCGGUCAGGGAUGGGGAUGCGUCUGAUUAGCUUGUUGGCGGGGUAACGGCCCACCAAGGCGACGAUCAGUAGGGGUUCUGAGAGGAAGGUCCCCCACAUUGGAACUGAGACACGGUCCAAACUCCUACGGGAGGCAGCAGUGAGGAAUAUUGGUCAAUGGGCGGAAGCCUGAACCAGCCAAGUAGCGUGCAGGAAGACGGCCCUAUGGGUUGUAAACUGCUUUUAUGCGGGGAUAAAGUGAGGGACGUGUCCUUCAUUGCAGGUACCGCAUGAAUAAGGACCGGCUAAUUCCGUGCCAGCAGCCGCGGUAAUACGGAAGGUCCGGGCGUUAUCCGGAUUUAUUGGGUUUAAAGGGAGCGUAGGCCGUGGAUUAAGCGUGUUGUGAAAUGCAGGUGCUCAACGUCUGCACUGCAGCGCGAACUGGUCCACUUGAGUGUGCGCAACGCAGGCGGAAUUCGUCGUGUAGCGGUGAAAUGCUUAGAUAUGACGAAGAACUCCGAUUGCGAAGGCAGCUUGCGGGAGCACAACUGACGCUGAA
rnacentral:rRNA from 1 species